CUUCAGUCUGUGUGGAUGCAGUAUUACAGAGAAACAGUGUCUCAUCUUGACUUCAGCUCUGUUCAAACCUUUCACACCUGAGAGAACUGAACCUCAGCGAGAAUCAAAUAGAAAACACAGGAGUGAAUCACUUAUGUGAUGUACUGAAGGAUUCACACUGUAAACUGGAGAGAUUGAGUCUGAAGUACUGUGGCAUUACAGAUGUUUCUUCUUCAACUCAGUCUUUGACAAACACAAAAGCACUACAGUUUUUAAAAGAGCUUGAUCUGAGUUACAGUAUGAUUGGAGACUCAGAGAAGCAGCUCAGUGACGUGCUACGAGACUCAAACUGUGAACUGAGCCUGGAGAAAGAACAUUGGUUCAGAGCUGGUGUAAGCUACAUUGGUGGAUUGUUAACACACUGGUCAAAAGCUCAGGAACCUGUGAAAUCAACAGAAAAGGAAAAGUCACCAUCAGAUGAGGAAUCCUC
ensembl:lncRNA